rnacentral:rRNA from 1 species
UACGAAGGGGGCUAGCGUUGUUCGGAAUUACUGGGCGUAAAGCGCACGUAGGCGGAUAUUUAAGUCAGGGGUGAAAUCCCGGGGCUCAACCCCGGAACUGCCUUUGAUACUGAGGAUCUUGAGUCCGGGUGAGGUGAGUGGAACUGCGAGUGUAGAGGUGAAAUUCGUAGAUAUUCGCAAGAACACCAGUGGCGAAGGCGGCUCACUGGCCCGGUACUGACGCUGAGGCACGAAAGCGUGGGGAGCAAACAGG